ACCUUAGCCACCUACUCCACCACCUUUGUUGGCCACCCACCUUAGCCACCAACUCCACCACCCUUGGCCACCUAAACCACCCCAACCACUCCACUUGUAAAAUUUGGCUAUAAAAGCCAUUCAAGACUUUGUUUUUAAGUGGGGGGUUUUUGGUUUUUUGGAGAAGGAUUGUUCUUUGUUUUGGAGGAGGUUUUUUUUGUUUUUUGGAGGUGUUUUUUUGUUUUUUUGGAAAAAAGGUUAUUUUUGUUUCUUGGAAAGGCUAGUUUUUGGAGAUUAAUCAAAGAUCAAAGCAAAAGAGGUUUCUUUUGUCUAUUCUUAUCUUUAGUUCUUCGUUUGUUUAUUGUUUUCCUUUCAAUUUUAUUUUGUUUUUUUUAUAUGAAAGUAAAAAUAAAAGUAAGAAGCUUA
rnacentral:lncRNA from 1 species